rnacentral:rRNA from 1 species
AUUGAACGCUGGCGGCAGGCCUAACACAUGCAAGUCGAACGAGUGGCGGACGGGUGAGUAAUGUCUGGGAAACUGCCUGAUGGAGGGGGAUAACUACUGGAAACGGUAGCUAAUACCGCAUCCCAUCGGAUGUGCCCAGAUGGGAUUAGCUAGUAGGUGGGGUAACGGCUCACCUAGGCGACGACCCCUAGCUGGUCUGAGAGGAUGACCAGCGACACGGGAACUGAGAAACGGUCCAGAGUCCUACGGGAUGCAGCAGUGGGGAAUAGUGCACAAGGGGCGCAAGCCUGAUGCAGGCAUGCCGCGUGUAUGAAGAAGGCCUUCGGGUUGUAAAGUACUUUCAGCGAGGAGGCGUUACCCGCAGCAGAAGCACCGGCUAACUCCGUGCCAGCAGCCGCGGUAAUUC